GUUCUGUCUUUAUUCCCUUCCUGUAAUUCGGCGCUCAUAUAUCCAGGUUGUGAUGUGCCGCUCCCAUAUGAGAUUUCUCUACAGAAGUGAUGUUCAUUGGCGUGCUGAAGUGCAGAUGCCACACUCUAGUGGAAUUGUGUACGUUAUAGUGUAAAAGCACAAACAAAGAGCUCUGCGCUGUUUUGCCUGCAAUUACGUUUUGGGUGAGAAAGUGGGAUUUAAGAGUGUGCUCUCUGCGCCUUUGACAUAAUCUGAACUGAAUGUACAUUUGAUUUUAGGAGUUCUACAGUAUUGUUUGCAGCUCUUUUAAAUACCUUAUAAGGCUUAGUAAGAAGAUGACGACUGUGGAACUCUGGGCUUUCCUGAGCUUCUGGUUACUCAGAACAGUCUCCUAGAACCAGUAAAGAAAAAUGGAACUCCAGUACACGAGUGACACUAAUUGUGAAUGAAUGUUCUAAAGCGCAGGGAUAUGAUGUCUCCUCUUGGGGCCACAACAUAUGGACAGCGACAUCUCUUGCAGUAAUCUUGUGCUUCUGAAUGAAUUGCAGCCUCUGGCAAAUCCAAGGGAGCUACUUAGCCUCCCUGUAUUUGCCUUUCAGUCAGUCCUCAUCAGUAUGCUGUUUUGUGUAGAGCAGAUGUGAGAAUUUGACUAGGAGCACUUCGAAGCAGAUACUGUAUGUGGAGGGGAAAAAAACUCUAUGCUUCCUUUAAAUUAAGCUCUUUAAAAGGUGUUGAAGUUGCAUAUAACUUUAAUCAAUGUGAUGAGCAGCAUUUCUGAAUGGUUGUGCAAAAUAAAAAUUAAAUCAGUGAAUUCCUCGGUAUUGUUUAGAAGAAGCAAUUGCUGUAUGACUUCCUUUUCCCUGUCCCUCCCCCCAGCACCUUUGAUGCCAGAUGCUAGGAUUUAACUGUAUUUCUAGUACUUGUAUAGCUAUAAGGAAUUAAAAAGAGGAAAUUGAUACAAAAACCUGUUUGAGUCUUAAAUAUUUAAAAGCGGUAGUUGACCAACACCUCUUCAAAAGCUCAAGGGAAGACAAUAUUUUC